rnacentral:tRNA from 1 species
GGGCCUGUGGUCUAGCGGCUAUGAAACCGAGCAAAAAAGGGCUGAUGACUGAGAGGUGUUUUUCGGUUUAGCAGACGUCGCCUUCACACGGCGGAGUUCCCCGGUUCGAAUCCGGGCAGGCCCA